CCUGGACAACGCUACAAGUCUGAACACCGCAGACGGCGUCUACACCUACACCUGCAAUGACGGCUUCUUUUUCCUGAGCGGCGCCGCGCAGCAGAAUAGUUCUUGCGACACAACCACCAAUACCUGGAGCGACGUAUACGACAUCUGCGCUCAAGCAUGCGUGAUUCCGAGGCACUGCGCCGACGUGCAGACUCUCGGUAUCACCGACAGCGGCACGUACCAAGUCAUCCCAUCGGGGCUCCCAGCCGACCCACCGGUCAACGUCACAUGUGAAUUGGAAGCGUCAGGCGGAGGUUGGACGGUCGUCUACUGCCAGUCGACGGCGAGUCAAAACAUUCUGGGCCUGAGUUCCGUGGAAACUUCCCACUCUUGUCCCUACAGCAUUGGGCUAGACAACUGGCAUAAACUAACGGGAUCAGUUGGAAGUUCCGAAGCUGCGGU
rnacentral:lncRNA from 1 species